rnacentral:rRNA from 1 species
GUUUGAUCCUGGCUCAGGACGAACGCUGGCGGCGUGCCUAAUACAUGCAAGUCGAGCGCAGGAAGCCGUCUGAACCCUUCGGGGGGACGACGGUGGAAUGAGCGGCGGACGGGUGAGUAACACGUAAAGAACCUGCCCAUAGGUCUGGGAUAACCACGAGAAAUCGGGGCUAAUACCGGAUGUGUCAUCGGACCGCAUGGUCCGCUGAUGAAAGGCGCUCCGGCGUCGCCCAUGGAUGGCUUUGCGGUGCAUUAGCUAGUUGGUGGGGUAACGGCCCACCAAGGCGACGAUGCAUAGCCGACCUGAGAGGGUGAUCGGCCACACUGGGACUGAGACACGGCCCAGACUCCUACGGGAGGCAGCAGUAGGGAAUCCUCCACAAUGGACGAAAGUCUGAUGGAGCAACGCCGCGUGAACGAUGAAGGCUUUCGGGUCGUAAAGUUCUGUUGUAAGGGAAGAACAAGUGCCGCAGGCAAUGGCGGCACCUUGACGGUACCUUGCGAGAAAGCCACGGCUAACUACGUGCCAGCAGCCGCGGUAAUACGUAGGUGGCAAGCGUUGUCCGGAAUUAUUGGGCGUAAAGCGCGCGCAGGCGGCCUCUUAAGU